rnacentral:rRNA from 1 species
CGUGUAGGCGGCUUGGUAAGUCAGAUGUGAAAGCCCUGGGCUCAACCCAGGAAGUGCAUUUGAAACUACUAGACUUGAGUACGGGAGAGGAGGGGGGAAUUCCCGGUGUAGAGGUGAAAUUCGUAGAUAUCGGGAGGAAUACCGGUGGCGAAGGCGCCCCUCUGGACCGAUACUGACGCUGAGACGCGAAAGCGUGGGGAGCAAACA